AGCUGGUCCCAUGGCAGUGGGUUAUCAGAACUUAUUAACAUUAGUGUCACUAAAGUUGGUAUACCACCCCCCCCACUGCUAAAUUUGACUGGCUUUAA
ensembl:misc_RNA Y_RNA Y RNA